GGAGGCGAUGAAGUAGUGGAUCUCGUUCCAUUAGCUCCUACGCGAUUUUGGGAUCUUGGGGGUGUUGUCCGUCCCCAAGCGUCGAGCCGUUGCCGUCAAUGUUGUCCCCAAGCGAGGCACUUCGACGCAUCCUCUUCGUCCUCAACAGCGACAGCCCGGCUUCGGCAUUGCAUUCUUCCACCUACAAGUCCCCCCAUCUCUCUUCUCCCAUUUCUUUUGUCUUCGUACGAUUGAGCCGAUAUAAUUUAAGGUACUGCUUGAUAGUGACAAAUGUUCCUAUCCUGCAUACUGGUUGUUGUUGAUUUUCAUCCAGAUUGACUUCUUGUCCAUCUACAAAAUGACGAUAGUAAGUAGUGGACGCGUAACACAGCUUAAGCCAAAAUGUUAAUUAGUUUAUGUCCUUUCCACUUUUUCCGGGCUUGGGAUUGAAAUUGGUAUUGGUCUGGCCCCGUACGCCCAUUAAUAUUCACAAAAUGUAUUUGUGAUUUUAAUAAGUGAAUAGUAAAAUUAAUUAGGUCUGAUUGCAAUAUAAUAUAGAACGAUGCUCGGAUGCUCUCACCAUUGGAUUGUCCUAUAGAACAGGCUUGAAGUAUCAAAUGAUAUAUAGUGUCGAUGUUUGGUAUUAUUGAACUAUUUCCAUCAAAUGCUGAUGCAUGUUUCCAAUGCUUAUGCAGAGUAGUACAUCAUAUCCAUGUACUUAUGGUUAUAUAAAAGGCUGUUAAAAUCCAUCUAGUUCAUGGCGAAGGAGAUGGCCUCUGCCCAGCGAACGUUCAAGUCCACACCCAUCUAGUUCAUAUGUAUACAAGUUGUGGCACAUGCUCUUUUUAAUAAUUUUUAUGCCUAAACAAAUCAUUUGUUUUGUAUUUGUUAGAAGGGAGAGAGGAGGAUUGGUGGAAUAGUUGUUGUAUUGCUUGAGCCUCGUGGGCAUAUAUAUAGGAGUACAAAGACCAAUUUGGAGUACAAGACAAGGCAGGACCGAAUCCUAGUCUAUCCUAUACUUCCUAAUUAUCAAUAUACUCAACAUCCCCCCGUAGUCACAACGGUAGCGAUGCAGACGGUGAGACUGGAGAAGAAUCCGAAGGCAAGCCGACGAACACCCCCCACAGUCGUGACGGUCGACGCAUCGCGAAGUCGUGGCUGGAGUGAAAACCGACGAGGUUGCUCAAGCAGGCGGUAGCCCUUUGUGCCGUUUGUCGAUGUAGCCGAGAGCGUGUGUGGUGGAGCCGUGGUCGAGGUAGCCGUGCGAAGAAUGCCGUGGUCGAUGUCGAGUCGGGGUGGCCGGUGUCGAGGAAGUCGCCGUGGAGCCGCGGGCGCAAGGGGGCGCCGAGUUAGUCGUGGGCGCAGUGGUGUCGAAGUAGUGGUGCGCCAAGACGGAGAUGAUGUUGACGACGCGUCGCGCCAGGGUUGCCAACCCUGGGGACACAUCGUAGACGAAGGCACGCGUCGGUGUUGCCAGCACCGGGCAUGCGUAGACGGACGAAGACGAAGUUGACGAAGCGCCGCGCCAGGCUUGCCAGGCCCGGGGACACAUCAUGGACGAAGGCACGCGGCGGUGUUGCCAGUACCGGGCAUGCAUAGACUGGGACCUGCACAAGCUGUACGCCAUGUCGAAGAAGUCGGAGAGGCCAGCAGAGAAGGACUCGACGACGGUUGCGGCGCCAAUCGGCACGGGGCCAAUGUCGCCCGCGGUUGUCGGAGUAGAUGAAGUGGUCGGGGUAGAUGACGGCGACGCUGGCGACGAGCUGGUGCUGGACGAAGACGAAGGGGGUGGACGGGCGGCGGCGGCGGCUACGAAGGUAGCGGCAGCGGCGGCCAAAGAAGAGCGGCAGCGGCGGCCUGAAGGCGGCGGCGGCGGCUAGGUUAGCAGUGCGGCGGCGGUGCUCGAAGUAGGCGAAGAACCCUGACAGCGUGACGAAGACCGGCGCGGACGGUGGUGUUCCUGCGCCAAGGGAGACGGCGCAGCGCAUACCACGGGAGAUCGACACGCGGUGACGGCGGAGUGGACCGCGGGCCGCGGCGCUACGAUCCAAAGGGGCGACGCAGCGGCGGCAGGCGGAUCGGGGCGACGGCGGGAAGACCUCGGGGCGGCAUCGGGGACCGCGGGCCGCGACGUUGCGGCCCGAAGGGGCGACGCAAUGGCGGUUCGCGAGUCGGUGCAACCGCAGGGACGGCCUCGGGAUGGCGGCGUGGACCGCGGGCCGCGACACUACGGCCCGAAGGGGCGACGCAGCGGUGACGCGGGUCGGUGCAGCCGGGAGAAGAACCACGGGGCGGCGGCGCUGCGGCUACGGGGGUAGCGCAGCGGCAGCCCGUUGCUCGAUCGACGGAGGAGCGCGCUGAACUCGGAGACGAUCUUCACGGGACCUGCGAAGGCGCGCAUAACUGACGGGCCAGGUCGGUCGCGCGGCGUAGAUGAGGCGGAUCGCGGCGGCGAGCGGGUGAUCAAGCCGAUCGCGCGCGAGGUCGGGGACACCGCUCGGUGAAGGCGUGGUGGCGGCGGAGUCCGAGAUGAAGUCGGCGGCGGCGGGCGGCAGGGCGGCUAUGAUUGGCCGCCGCAUGGCGCGAGGCCGCCGGGUCGGGGUGAUGCAGGAGUCCCGGUCGGAGCAGGCGGUGACGGCCGGCGUAGAUCGACGGGCGGGCCGGCGCGCGAACGGCGGCGGUGAAGGGCCGCCGCAUGACGCGAGGCCGCCGGGUCGGGGCGACCGGCGGGUAGGCCGCCGGGUCGGUGAAGACGCCGGUGUAGUCGAUGCUGAAGUCGGAGUAGAGGCGCACGGGGUCGACGGCGGCGGUGGGCGACGCAAACCGGAUCACAAAGACCGGAAAACCAAAAAGUAGACGCCGAUCAAAGCGACCGGCGAGAGAGAAAACCCGGAUCAAAGGAUUGGGAAAAAGAAUCUCUAGGGCAGCGGGCCAACAUGGCCGGCGGACGAACCCUAGGUACGGGCGGCGCGGCCCCCGGCGGCGGUCAUGGAGGCCGACCGCCCCGGGGGCGACGCGCGGGUGCGGAAGCGGCGGCGGCUAGGGUUUAGGAUCGACUUGCGAUAGAUACCAUGUUAGAAGGGAGAGAGGAGGAUUGGUGGAAUAGUUGUUGUAUUGCUUGAGCCUCGUGGGCAUAUAUAUAGGAGUACAAAGACCAACUUGGAGUACAAGACAAGGCAGGACCGAAUUCUAGUCUAUCCUAUACUUCCUAAUUAUCAAUAUACUCAACAGUAUUGAUCAGUGUAUACAUGCACUUUCCCUUAGUGCAUGGACAACUCUUUUGUAGUAAAUUCACAGACAUAAUUGAUGAUGGUACCUUAGACUAAAAAUUGAUAAUUUAUAAUUAGUUGAGUGAAAUCUGUUUUCGCUCUUCAUGCUUGAUGUCUUGAAGCACAGUAUGCGUAAAGCACUACCAAGAUUUGCUAUCUCGGCCAUUUAUGUCCUGCGGUACAAUGGAGAUUCCAAUAAUCCUAUAGUCCGUAGAUGCCUCAUAUUUAUAAUCAUUUAUUGAAUAUGAAUGUCAAAAGGUGAAAAUGCGUGUUAGAGAGGCGCACAUCUAUCAUAAGGACCUGGUGAUUUUCAAAAAUGAUUAUGCGGACCAGACAUGUUACGGAUCUACAUAACCAACUGAGUACACCUCCUUUUUGAUUCUAUUGUCAUUAUAAACAAAAGCCUCCUUUAUCAAUUCCUUGUGAUGCUAAAAAAAUUUAAGUUCAUAUGAGAAAGGAAGACGUAAUAUCAAUAGAAUUUGCAUAAUUAAAUACUAAGAUGAGCACAACUAAACACUCAUAGUCUCCAAAGUGGAUUUGUCUGGAUGCACACAUAAUAAGUUAAAUCCAUGUUCUCAUGAACUCAAAAUAAACACAACUGUAUGCGAACGCAAAUUACUACUCCCUCCGUUCACAAAUAUAAGAUGUUUUGGGUAUUUCAAUAUGGACUGAAAUGAGUGAACAAACACACUAAAGCGUGUCUAUAUACAUCCGAUUCACAAAAAAGUUAGAACAUCGUAUAUUUGUGAACGAAGGGAGUACGAAGUAUUUAGAGUAUCUAGAAUAUAUUUGUAUAAGUACAAUCAAGGGAAUUAAGUUUGUAGUUUAGCACUUGCUCUGCCUUGUUCUACCCUGUGUUCCUUCCAGGUGCUUUCCUAAUCAUCUUGUCUUCUGUUGAUUCUUUUCUCCUAUUUUUGCAUGCCGUCCUUUUUUUCCGUUUUUCCUGUAGAUUUUGAAUCCCAUUCGUUCACUAAAAUUUGAAUGUCAGUAACAUAAUUUCCUUGCUAGGCUAGCUUUAAUAAAAAAAUAGUCGUGUUCAGAGAUGCAUAUGGGGCAUUGUAGCACCAAGGUGCUAGUGAAUGUCCGUUCUAACAUUUAAAAAUAUGAAUUUUGUUUCUUUGAUGAGAGUACCUCGUCAUUGAUACUGUCAAUGCUAUACUGGUCAUGUUUUUUGUCCUGUCCCGCCUGCAAGGUAAGAUACUAUACCAUGUCGUUUGGAUUAUAAAAUAGGACGGUUGCUUUUCUUAAAUUGGAAAUGUAAAGUUUUGACAUGUGUAAAGUGUUCUUUCAUGCACUCUUUUAAAGUAUUUUAACAUGUGUGAAGUUUCUUCAUAGUCUUCAUUUGAAUCAUCUUCUAAUGUAAUUACAUAUGGACAUACUUUCUUUUCGAAUAUAUUUGCCUGCAGUUUUUGGAAAUUCAUAAAACAACAAUAAUUAUUUAACACAUGUAGAAGAUGAGAAGUGAAAUACCUGAUUAUUGAGAAGUUUGUUCUCUGUAAUCUUUUUUGCUUCAUUCAUGACUUUUGUUCCUUGGAUUUCCAUUAUGCUUUAUAAAGAACAUGCUCACAGUAUACUAUUGGUAAACUAUUUGAACUUGUUUUCCAAUAUGGAUCCUGCUGGAGGUGGCUUGAUUUCAUGCAGAAGAUGGUACCUGCUCGAGGUGGUGUUGUCGCUAGACGGAACUAAUGAUGUAGGUUGUGUCAUUGCUGGCUGAAGUUGAUCGAACAAUCCUCAAUGUAAUGUACAAUGUUCUACAAGCACAAUAUUGGUAAGUGGAAGUAAAAGUAAGUGCCUUGCCUAAUUGAGCUUAAACUUGUUAGUUGGGCGGCAACCAAAUAUGAACUUAUAUAUGUGCUAUUAAUUAGAGCAAAGGGGUUUCAUGAAAAGGACAGGUGCAUAUGAACUUCUAGGUGUGCUACAAAGUAUUAUUAACUAAAGAACAUAACAUUUAUUGGUAAAAAAGAGGCGUGCAUGCAAAGAGUGAUAGUAUAGGUUUUAGAGAAUCGAUCUAAUACCUGCCUCAGCUUGGGUUGCCACUAAUGUUACAUUGUGCAACCACAAUUCCAAUGGAGAUGGUGGACGCUCUAGGGCAUCGCAGUUCUUUUUUUCUGAUCUAUCAGGUCUAACACCUGCGGCUGCUCGUCAGGUCCAGCAUCCGCGUCGAGGAGUCCUGCUUCGUUGCGAAGGGAGAAGUCGGUUUUCAGUCCCUCAUGGAGGCGAUGCAGUUCAUGGCGUACGUCUGUUCCAGGCCGGCGCUUUGUAGACAGAAUUUCAAAAUUCAGGACAUCUUGGAGGAGAACCGCUAGGGUUCUCUCAAGGAAGUUUAGGUGCAUCCGUGGAGCAAGAAUCUUCUUCAGUGAAUCUUGAAGGAGAUCUUUCUUUCUGGUAAAUAUCUACGCCGAAGAUAGCUCCCUAUGUAUUUGAUAGAACGGAUGUAAAUCUUUUGUAUGUCCAUCUGUACUGUAAUCUAGUAGUAAUGAAACAAUAGUUUCUCUCGGAUGCAUGUACUGCUUUCAUGUAAGGAUGCAUGUACUGCUUUCAUGUAAGAUUUAACAUCAUGUAAGAUUUAACAUCAGAUUGAAAAGAAAGAAACUUGGUGCUUCAUCAACUUCUGUAGGUUCUACAGAGGACUAAUAAAAGAACAAAA
rnacentral:lncRNA from 1 species